GGAGUGGUACAGGCUCACUUGCAGGACGGUGAGGGUCCUCUCCAUGGAUGAGAUCCUGGGGAGAAUAUGACAAAGACACACUCACCUCUGUGGCUUUCUGAGCCCAGAUAAACUGCUCACCUUGGGGGUCCUGGGACCACAUCUUGCCAAUGAGGACCACGGCUAAAUGGAAACAGUCAUUCUGCCCAAGCCAGGACGGAGUGGAGGUUGACAUUAGUGUCAGAACUCUGCUUCUUCACAGCAGGACAGGACACAUCGCCCGUCCUCUCUGGGUUGUACUAUUUUGUAAUAAAGGCAUGCCUAUCCUUCUAGGCAUGGCAUGGGAUAAACCUUACUAGCUUACAGGUUGGAGUCUGAGAGUCUGCACAUCACCGGAGACAGUUUGUCUCUGUGUCUGAGGAACAGGGAAGCAGACGUGCGGCUUCCUUGUGUCUGGCAGGCACAAACAAACAAAGCCUCGCAGAGCCCUUUUUGAACCAGGUGUCAGCCCGGGUGCUGUGGUGAAGCAAAAGGAGACAGCCUUCACUCUUGGAGGCACCGCUCUUGAGGGGGAAGAUAUGGUGCUUCCAGAUAAGGAGGUACAGAGCAACAUAAAGGGGUCCUGAACAUAGCAAGCACCUGCUUGGUGCUACCAAUGGGCCAGACACCAUGUCUCCUGAACAUCCGGGCAGAAGGCAGAUCCUGGUGGAGACUGGGCAGAGGGAAGCUGGCUCAGUGGAGACCCCUCAGGGCCUCCGAGAAAUGCACAUAAGGUCCCACAACUCCACCUCCAGGAACUUGUCCUUCAGUGUCGGAUGGGCACACAUGGGAGGGACCAUCCUAUGCUCGGCUUUGUUCCUGCCUGGUUUUGAAGGACAGACUCUGUCACAUCUACACACCUCACAAAACCCCAGAUUUGCCACUAAUUUCAACAGGAACCAAGGGCUGAGCGGGGCUCAAUAACAAUUAUAUACCUUCUCUAGUGCUUGGCUUUGGUCUGCAGUACUGUUUUUUUUUUUUUUCUGCUAAGAAUGAUUGUACCAUCCUAGACUGUGUGUGAAAACAUUGCUCAUUUCCCAAGGCCCAAUUCAAAUACUUUCUUCUCUAGAGAAGAUGACCUUAUCUGUGUCCUCUAACAUCGGUCACAAGGGUACUCAGCCAACCCCUACCCCCUCACACACAUCUGCAUUCCCACCCCCAGAGUUCUGAAGGCUCUUGUCUUCCUCAAUCUCCUCUCUUGUCUCCCUAAGGUCUCCCAGUGGCAGAGUGUGACUCGCCAUGUAGUCCAGAGAGCACUUGGCCACAGCAAAUGUCUGGGGGCACAUCUGCCAGGAACAAGAAGACACCGUAGUUCUUCAGAAACUUGCUUGGCCUGAGACCCAGCUUGGACAAGACCGCCUGAGUCCACUUUCCUGUCUUCUUUGUUUUCUGAUCCCCUGGUCCUUUCUCUCAGGACCUGUCCCUGAAGAGUGACCUGCUGGUUCAGAUCAAUGAAACAACAAGGAUGACAUUCUAAAAUGGGGUUCAAUAUAGAUGUUAGAUAUGUUUCAAAUAUCUACAUAUUUAUGUAUGUAUUACUAAAGUCCAGGUAGGUGGGAGGGUUACAUAUAGAUAUAGUGUUCCAAAUUCUUCUCAAUUGUCCAGGAUGCAGAGACAUGAACUAAAGGUAGACUUAAUAAUCUAAAGGCACAUGGUCUAAUUUUCUAUGUAAUCAGGAAAUAAUGUCUCCGAGACAAGCUAAUAGCUGGAGAAUGGAAUAAAAAUUACAGUAAGGGCUUCAUGCGCUUACAAAGGGCAGCAGGAAAAGCGGACAUCUAAGGAGGUGGGACAAGGAUAGUUCAAUCCUGGCUUGCAGUUGGGUUGGGUAGAAUGGGAGAGAGCCUGGCAUGCAAUACUUUCCCUGAGCAGAGACUCACUCAUUCCAGAGGCUUCUGCUGCUUUCUUAUAAGAAGGCGUGGUUUGGACCCUCUGAUACAAUGUCUUAGAGGCUGUGCUUGCUCAAGGGAGCUCUGGGUAGCCAUGGCUAUUCCUGGGUCUUUCCUUUCCUUUCUACCCCAGAGCUGGUGCUGAAAUAACCGACUCCAAGGCUCAGAGGCGACUUGCCAGGGUCACAUAGUGAAUCUGCAGCACAGCCAGAUGAGGGCCCAGAAGAACUGAUCCCCAGGCUCCAUGGCCUCGCCGUAGUGCAAUACCUUGCUUGCUGGGCCACAGAAUCCCUCUAGGCCAUGUUUUGGGGACAGUCUUUGGGGUCUGGAAAAAGUAUGGCUCUGCCAUUGGUGAUUCAGGACAGGUGGGAAGGAGCCAGGCUGCCACUGGGAGUCACCAAUGGCAGGAAGCAGGGAGCUUUGACCGGUGUUAAUGUGAAUGUGGCUUUAGUGCCUUCGACAGCCCUUUCUUCAGUUUUCCCCAACUCCUCGUGCCCUAGUCCCCCUGGCAUAGAAAAAGAAGGAGUGGAACACUCAUGUCACUGUGGAAAUUCUCUCCUGACGAUUCUUGGUGACCAGCUGGCUGUCUCUUCAGGGAACUUAGCGGGGCAAUAGUAACCCAAGGAGUGGCCUGGAGGAUGUGGCAGGCAUGCUAAUUGCCUGGGGAGGGUGUGAAGCCAUAUAUAGAUUGGAAAGCUAGACUGGACCUCAGCUAUAUUGCCAAGGCUGUGUCCCAUUCUGUGAAAACACCACAAUCUCUCACAGAUGGAUGGAUGACCAGAAGCCCAGUAGCCACAAGAAGGUGUCUCAAGGACUGCAUACACACAGACGGACGAGCCUGCUGCACCUUGGGGCUUGGAUGCUGCAGUCUUUGCCUACAUAGGCCUCUCAAGUUUGAAGACAACUAAGCCCCCCUUUCUGCAUGAAAGAUCCUCCUCAGUGUUCCCCGGUCUUCUAGUUUACAUGAUACCUCAAUGAUACUCAGAUGUUAUGCCUCUCUAUCUGCAGACCAGAGCCUGGCAUGGGCCUUCGCCCACUCCUGAGUUUCCCCUCUAGAGAAGGGACACCCCUCCCGGCAACAGUCACGCCUCCACAAGGGUGUGAGUAUGAGACAGUUUACAGUCUCUGCGGGGUAGAAGUUGCGGCUAAGAACACUUCCCAUCAAGAAAGGGAAGUCAAACACUGGUGAGAGGAAGUUCUGUCCCAGGUUCUAUUUUCUGAACGUAAUAGGAACUCUCUGGAUUUUUGGGGCUGGUGUGUGGAGACUAUACUUCAUGCCAGCUUUUUAUGUGGAAGGUGGGAGGCAAAGUGAGCGGGAAAAUAAAGCCAGGAAACGGAGGCAUAGCCUCUCGGCCUCACUA